CAAUAGCGUAUAUUAAAGUUGUUGCGGUUAAAAAGCUCGUAGUUGGAUUUCUGCUGAGGACGAUCGGUCCGCCCUCUGGGUGAGCAUUGACUCGGCCUUGGCAUCUUCUUGGAGAACGCUACUGCACUUGACUGUGUGGUGCGGUAUCCAGGACUUUUACUUUGAGGAAAUUAGAGUGUUUCAAGCAGGCGCACGCCUUGAAUACAUUAGCAUGGAAUAAUAGGAUAGGACCUUGGUUCUAUUUUGUUUGGUUUCUUAGAGCUGAGGUAAUGAUUAAUAGGGAGUAGUUGGGGGCGAUUCGUAUUUAACUGUCAGAGGUGAAAUUACUUGGAUUUGUUAAAGACGGACUACUGCGAAAGCAUCUGCCAUGGAUGUUUUCUAUUG
rnacentral:rRNA from 1 species